ACCCUAGCCGCCUCUCUCCCGCACUUGCGCAGCCCAUCUCUCUUCCUCCCGUCACCCCCCUCCUGCCUACUCUCUCGAUCCCCACUGUCGCCGCCUCGUUCGCCGACCGAUUCCGGCCGCUCCGGCGAGCUUUGGUGCCACCCAACACACACACAGCUGCUCCUGGACGAGCUCUACUAGCUUCACCGCGUCGAUCUACUUUUCCUCGCCUCAUGCGGUCACCCCCAUCGAUUUCCCCUGCUAGGGUUUCGAUGGUGGGGGUGGGCCUCGCUCCGGCGGCCGGCUGCUCGUUUCCCCGAUCUCUCGAUCCCCAUUGAUGCGUCCCUGCAGAAGAGAAGAUGCGGAGGGAGGAUAGGAGGAGGUAGGCGCCCUGGGGUGGGGUGGUCUCGCCGGCGACGAUAGGGCUGGCCGGCUGGAGUUGGAUCGGGAUCCCGGCUGGCACGCCUCGCCUCCACCUCCCUCUCCCACCUCUCUGCUCCCAGAACCCUAGCAGCUCCCGCCGUUGCCGUCGUCUACUUCACCCAGCCUGCCGGACCGCCUCCGUCCACUUCCCCGGUGUCGUCGCGGUCGUCCUCGCCUGCACACGGCAAGAGGAGCGCCCCCGCCCUCUCCUCUCCUCCUCCCCUCAUCACGAGCCAGGACAGGAAGGGCCACCGUGGCCGGGCAGGUCAGGUGGCGCGUCCAGAUCACCGAGGAGCCGCCCGCAAGGUCGGCCAUGGCGCAACCGAGCAGAGCAGGUGAGGAGGGAGACGCGGGUUCCUCUUUCCCGCUGCUUGCUUCGUCGCCGGCGCGGCUCCGAUGGACUCUGGCGGCUCCUCUCUGUCUCCUUCCUCGCCCCCACACGCGGCUCCACUUCCCGCUGGCCAUGGGGCUGGCCGGCAGCAGCGCCUCCAUCCCUGCCGCUGCCAGUCCCGGCGCCGCCGACGGGUCCAUAGGCAGAGGCGUCGUUCUUGGUGGUUGAGCCGCUGAUGCAGAAGAUUCAUGGAGAGAUUUGUUGGGUGGACGCCGACAUCCUUGCCGCCGUCCGGUUGCAGGGUAGUGCUUACAAAAAGAGGCAAGCUGAAGAGGAAGGUUGGAAGAAGGAGAGUUAUGAUUGCCUCUUCCUCCUGUUGCUAAGGGAAAAGGACCAAGUGCGGGCGGGUGAGCAUCAGGAGUCCAGUUGAUUGGCUUCGGCCUUUGAGUUGCUGCUGGCUAGCGGUGCUGCUUCUGAGCGUCUCCUCACCCCUCACUCAUGUGCCCCCUUCAACUGGUGGCACUUUUGCUUGUGUCUUGUUAUCUUUUCGAAAUGGUGAAGCUGACAAUGAUAGCCUGUAUCACUGAUGACCUUUCAUUUGCGGAGUGCUUAGAUGGACUGCUUGGCCUCUCGUUUCGAUUAGCCUAUCAUUUAAGUUGGAAACACCAGAAUUGACGCUUGCGUAUGAGUAGGUACCAACUCUCUUCUUUACUCUUUCAUGGUGAAUCCAUUUUUAUUAUCCCCUGUUUGAUAGUUUUUUCUCCUCUUGACCCAAAUAAAGAGAUUUGAUGUGAUGAUUGAGGUAGAAGGCUAGCUGAACAUAUUGAUCAAAUGUCUGCUGAUGUACUUUAUUAUUCUUUGUUUUUUGUAUGGUGACCGUGAGCUCUAUAGGUAGAGGAGCAGAGGACAUAAAGGUGCAUAGCUAUUUUGUCACUACUAAUAUAUAUGACUAAUUAAUGCCCACAAAGUUUUAAUGAGAUAAUAAUGAGAGAUUAUCAAAGAACAGAGCUCUCUGGUACUUCAUAUAUGUGAUCCUUUUAGCAGCCCACAAGAUGUCUCUGGACAUGCUCAUAAGAGGAUAGGAUGUGAUACGUGUUUGCUCAAACGGUCCAAGACUUGGAUGAACAGUUGGAAUAAAGGAUCUCUCUCUGUAUCCACCUUGGAAAAAAUAGAAUCAACCCUUCCUCUUAUUAAUCAUGUGCAGCCUCUUUAAUUUGCCUUCCUAGCCUGUGUCAUUUGGUUCUGAUUUUUUUUCUGCUAUACAACUUAACAAUUUAAUUUCGUGUGUCAUGUGCAGAGAGGUCCAGGACGAUCUGAGACACAUGGGUUUCCUGUUCUCAACUUCUCAUGUUUGAUUUUAAUUCUUUUGCUUUUUGGUUAACCAGAGCUCAGAAUCAAGAUUAAGAAAGUAGUUGAGCACAAAGCAAACAAGGUGAUGUUUGCCCAUAGAUGCCUGAUGAUGAUCAUUUCCUGAAGAGUACAAUGCUGGGUGGAUAUUCUUCUACCUUAGCAGAUGAGAUCGAUGGUAUUUCAAGUGGACAAGAUGAGACACUGACGGGAAAAGAAGCUUUGCCCUCCGAACAGGAAGCCUAGGCUCUAGACUGGGUAUCUCUUAAAAUUUUUCAAAGACUGGAAGAAGUAUCCCGAGGAGGAAGAUAGGAUCCUGGGUGGAAAAUUGGUGAAAGUGUGUACGAUUAUGGGAAAUGGAUGCCACCUGCUACCAGCUGCACCCUGAGGUGUGUUUCUUUGCAGGUAUCUGAUUAGGUCAAAAUCGAUAGGAACUUUGUGUACGCUGAGUACUCUCUUUUGCCUGGCAUAGUGAAUGAGAAUAGAUCAAAAUUAGCGGACCAAGCUAUAUGUGCUAUCCUUUUACUGGUGUACGGAGAACAUAUCGAGCAUGUAUUUGGGUGUAUGAACUGUUGUAUCGAUGAUGUCGAGUCGCUGUGCGUACAUGUCAUAGCUUCAUAUGCAUAUAUAAAUUGUUGUAUCUGCUUUGUACCUUUGUAUCAUGUGUAACAUAUAUUCUGAUUUACUUGGCUGAAUAUGAUUCAAUCAAGUUCAGAUUUUGGGAA